rnacentral:lncRNA from 1 species
GGUUUCCAAAGCAGCAUUUGGAUUCAGAUGCAUGACUAGUCAUUCAUGAAGUCAAUUUUCAGUAAAAAAUUUGCACUUAAUUGGACAAACAAAUUCAUGAACAGUGCUGCUUCUGUCGGAUACCUUCUCGGCCACUAUGCAGCCAUGAACAGUGCUGCAGUAGCAGAAUAGCCUUUGGCAGUUGGUCUUGGUGCAUUAACGAUGAAAACCCACACAACAUUAGCUAAACAACUACAGGCCAUAAAACUUUGAAGUCUCAAAGCUUAGGGAAAUGCAUUUUAACUUCAUAGUCGCAGAGAAAUGAUCUACUUUUUUGAACAUCAACGUAGAGUUAAAUGAUCUUAAGGACUAACAAUUCUGAUUAAGCAUCCAGUUGAUCUCGAUCGAAGCAUGUUUUCUGCUGUUGCACCCGAGCUGUGCCUUCUCGGUCCUCUCUGAAGCCAGCCAUGUUAAGAAAACUGCACCACCAGACACAAACUUAUGUAAAGCUCAAGCCUUAAACUAAUCUGCUGUUCACAUAAACUUACGGUGUAAACUGUGCUGAAAGCCGUGCUCCUCAACUUGUUUAGCCAACAUCACAAUUAACAACAGCAGCUAACACUUGCUUUAACUGAUGGGAGGACUAAAUUAGUAGCCAAAUGAAUGAUAGUGAUGAGUGGGUUGCCUGUUGUCGAUGAACCCACGGAUCCGCGGAGAUCACGUGGUACAAGACAGAACACCCCCCCACCCUUCAGAUGGCAUGAUAGACGUUAAGUAUUGAUGGAUCAUCAAGACAGCGAUUAAAAGCAUUGAAUGCUGGGUGGGCACAGCUGUUGGAGUGUGUGAUUCAUGACAUAACAACAAGUCUACCAAGCACAGCUGUUCAUGUGGGAUCUCAAGAGCUUAGAACUAAGAUGGACCAAUAAGCUCUCUGUUCCAUGGUAUAUGAGCAAAUGAGUGCCAUACAGUAGACGUUAAAUAAUAGCUUGGAGUUGAUGUUUCCGGUCCUCACCCUCAAACAAGUGAAAGCUUAUAGACCAUGCUAGGUGAGUCAGGUCUUUAAUCCCCAAGAUAAUGUACAUUUAAGUUUCAUGUACCAUAACCAGUCAUCUGGUACUUAAUUGUUUAUAAUCAGUAGAUAAAUAACAAACUAGUGAUUCAUCUGACCAAAUUGAGACUCAAGAUGUGUCGUAAUGUAUAUCAUCCAACCAUCAUGCAGAAUAUUAGGCUAAACCAAAUUUAAUAACUUCUUGUUCUUUUUUUUUCCAGAAAGAAAGAAUUAUGUGUUUUGCUUUGAUUAAUAAUGGGCUCAUAUAUCUCUCUUUUCGGCCUAAUAUCGACACGGCCCAAAAAAGGGACAGAAUAAUACGAAAAUCUUUUGGGAAACCACUAAAAUUACCAUAAAAAUGUUUUGUUUUUAAGAUAUUAUGAUCACUUGAUUAAAAUAUUUAUUUAUCAUCAGCCAUGAACAUGGUAGAAUAUGAAAACUACAGUGUGUGAAGUACAAACAGAAGACCGGCAGGCAAAAGAAGCAGCCAAGGGCUGUUCCUGUCAUGCCUUACUGCAUUGUCUCUGCUUGCUUGUUCUCUUAAAUCCCGUCUGCAGCAUAGCAACAAAUACCAAUUCCACUCGAUUGGCAGUGAUACCAAAAGGACCACAUCACCUAUCGACAGGUUCCAAAAUCUGUGUUUAGUGCUCUUAUCAGUUUGUGCCAUUACGGCGGUCAGGGUCCAAAUUCUGUCUAUCCAUGGUUGAAGCAAUUGAUCUUAACCUAUCGGUAAAGCCCUUCAGCCUGGAAACUAAUGCUCGCUUGAUGAGGUUUCAUGCAUACUAUCCCAGCUCACAGACUAAUGCUGUAAAGAAAACCGAGUACAGAAUGAGAUACUGAUAAAUUCAUGGUCAUUUUGGCAUUCUUACAAACACAAGGCAACCGUAAAAAGAAAGUGCAUGAAACAAGCAACACGACUCCUUCCAAAAAAGCUGAAACGGAAAGCAGAUGAUAAUUCAUGGUCACACAGAGUUUAUUAUGUAUUAGUGCUUAGAAAUGAAGAAUACGUAGAAUUACUCGGCUACUUGGGAACAAAUAGUUACCUUCGACGAUGGGGCGACUCAGUAGAUAAAAUCCCAUGUAAAAGGCCCAUGAUUUGAUGUCAUCACGCAGCCUCAUCAAGUGUUUCUUCCUAGAAUCCUUUGCUCAGAACCGCUGUCUGCUGGGAUUGUGAGCACAUCGACAAACAGACAAGGUUGGACACGCAGUCAUGCGGUCCCAAGCACGGCUACCUGCUGUUUGCUUCCGUCGUCACGCGCCCGUGCGCGUCCAUGACUCGCUCACUGGCUUCGUUCACGCGCGUGAGGUGAGCGAAGCCAAUGCCCGGUAAAUACGUCAACAGCUACAGCAUCGAAAGCUCCUCUGCGUUCCACUUAGAACGUCAAGCCGUGAGACAUGAAACAGAACCUAUGAAGGGAGGGCUUUAAUCGAUGCCCUUCUCGAAGUUCUCAUUCCCUUCCCUCUUUUCUCGGUAUCAGUGCAGCUGUGGUCAUCUCUCCGUGCCAGGAAGGAUCGAUGGUUGGAUUGAAGGAAGUAGAAU